rnacentral:rRNA from 1 species
CAGCUCUCCGAGUGGUAGGGAAGAUUAUUGGGCUUAAAGCGUCCGUAGCCGGCUUAGCAAGUCUCCUGUUAAAUUCAGCGACCUAAUCGUUGAGCCGCGGGAGAUACUACUAGGCUAGGAGGCGGGAGAGGUCGACGGUACUUCCGGGGUAGGGGUGAAAUCCUAUAAUCCCGGGCGGACCACCAGUGGCGAAGGCUGUCGACUAGAACGCGCUCGACGGUGAGGGACGAAAGCUGGGGGAGCGAACCGGAUUAGAUACCCGAGUAGUCC